rnacentral:tRNA from 1 species
CUCACCCCCCCCAGGAAAAAAGAUCAACACUCUAAUUUGGAUGAUUCUGUGACGACCCUAUCUUAUCCUAUCU